CCUACGGGUGGCAGCAGUGAGGAAUAUUGGUCAAUGGCCGGAAGGCUGAACCAGCCAAGCCGCGUGAAGGACGAAGGUGCCAAGCAUUGUAAACUUCUUUUGUCAAGGGACAAAAUCAGGCUCGAGAGCCUGACCGAGGGUACUUGAAGAAAAAGCAUCGGCUAACUCCGUGCAAGCAGCCGGGGUAAUACGGAGGAUGAGAGCGUUAUCCGGUUUUAUUGGGUGUAAAGGGUGCGUCGGCGGGUUGUUAAGUCAGAGGUAAAAGCCCGGGGCCCAAACCCGGCGAGCCGUUGAAACUGGCUGGUGUGAGAUGUCGAGAGGUAUGCGGAAUGCGCAGUGUAGCGGUGAAAUGCUUAGAUAUUGCGCAGAACUCCGAUUGCGAAGGCAGCAUACCGGCGGCGAUCUGACGCUGAGGCACGAAAGCGUGGGUAUCGAACAGGAUUAGAUACCCGAGUAGUC
rnacentral:rRNA from 1 species